rnacentral:rRNA from 1 species
AGCUCCAAGAGCGUAUAUUAAAGUUGUUGCGGUUAAAAAGCUCGUAGUUGAACCGAGGGGGUAGCGCACGGUUAAAAAGCUUUCGGGUCUUCGCUUCGCGUGGGGGCUCGGAGGUCGUGUGUCUGCCUUCGAAUUUGUGAUGAUUAUACCAGCUUGGGGGGGGUGCUCUUUGCUCAAAAGGCGGGGGGUGUCUUCUUCUUGCUGGAUCGCAGAGUUUUACUUUGAAUAAAUUAGGGUGUUCAAAGCAGACGAAUACGUCUUGAAUAGAUUAGCAUGGGAUAAUGAAAUAAGACCUUUUUGGCUUACAUUUACUGGUUUCUGAGGCCGAGGUAAUGAUUAAUAGGGACAGUUGGGGUCGCUCGUACUCGGUGGUGAGAGGUGAAAUUCUAAGACCCAUCGAAGACGAACAAGUGCGAAGGCAUUCGACAAGGAUGUUUUCU